GGGUUUUGUAGCUAUAGCUAAUAAGUUGACUGUAUUUUUUUAGAUGACUGAGGAGAAUGAGGUACAACAAGACAUCAGUGCUUGGAUAGAGACCCAUGGUGAUGCUGACGGGAAUUUGAAGGAUGGUUGUGAUGCUGAGAAGGAGAAAGAGGUCAUUGAUGUAGAAGCGGAGGAGGGGAAGAAGAGAAAACAGAUGACAUCUAGAUCUGAAAUGUG
rnacentral:lncRNA from 1 species